UACGGAGGGAGCUAGCGUUGUUCGGAUAUACUGGGCGUAAAGCGCACGUAGGCGGCUUACUAAGUCAGGGGUGAAAUCCUGGAGCUCAACUCCAGAACUGCCUUUGAUACUGGUGAGCUUGAGUCCGGAAGAGGUGAGUGGAACUGCGAGUGUAGAGGUGAAAUUCGUAGAUAUUCGCAAGAACACCAGUGGCGAAGGCGGCUCACUGGCCCGGUACUAGACGCUGAGGUGGCGAAAGCGUGG
rnacentral:rRNA from 1 species